GUGUUGAAUCAACGUCCGUUUUGCCUCCCAAGAUUUUCCCGUUGCGUGGCCUCUCCCUGGACUUGCUCACCUCCCGCCCCUACUUUCGUGCUCUUCUCUGCAGCAACUUGCAAGUUCCACGCGUGUAACAUAACCUAAUCCGACAGCUUCCUCUGGGGGAGUCACCUAGGAAGCCCUUUAACCACCAUGUGUGCGGUGGCCUUGAACUACGCUUAAGAGAAACAAUUCCAGCCCUUUCUCUCCAAAAGCAACAAACAAAAGGAUCUGUUUCUUUUUCCAAAUGCCUUUUCUCGAGUCACCCCAGUCAAGGAAUUCCUUCCCACCCUUCAGGAUCUGUUCCCUCCAAUGAAGCUUUCGUUUAAUCUUCUGAAAUUGUCUCCGGUCCCUUGGCUUGUGUUUUUUUUAACUGCGGCUCAGAAGUUUGUUUACAGUCCCUUGGCUUCGCUCUCUUCUCCUCGCAGCUCUGCAAGUGUCUGCUCAGUUCUGUUCCGGACUGGAGGGGCGAAGGUUCCAUUUGUGCUAUACAGUUCAUGGCCUUGAAAGGAAAAGAACAAACAAGAGGCUGAAUUUUUGCAUAUUUGCUAUGAGCUAACAAGUUUGAAAUACUGAAAUUGUCAUCAGAGUCUUCCGAAAAUCUUCUCAUCCUACCAACUUAUUUCCUGACCCAGGAUACGACGGAUUUCCUAUAGAUGAGGUAAGUUGAUAUGGAUAUGGAAGUGGUUUGAUUGUCUGAGGGUUUUAAUUAAUUCGUCAAAAUGUCCCUAAAUAUCCACAUGGAUACAGAAGAAGUUUAGGGGUAUUGAUUUUGUUGUUCACACAUGGCUGAUGGGAGUUGUAGUUCAACAGCAACAACAGCUUGGCAUGAUGACCAUGAAAGUCCCUAGAAAGUCACUGCCAGUCUCAAGGGUUCCCUUCUGCACAUUUAUGCAAAAUACACAAAGCCCCUCAACUAGUACACAGAACUGAGUAAGAUGCAUAUCAGAAGGGUCCUGAUCUGGGUCACUGGUAGACUUCAAUAUUGAGGUCUAUUGAUGUGCGAGUGGAAGUAAAUCUGGAGGCGUGCAGAAAGUGGUUCCAGUUCACGAGGGGACCCAUUUUGGUGGUGCACUUGAUUGUGCCACCAAAAUGGGUCUCCCAGGGACUCCAAAGCCUGGAAGUUUCAUUUCUGGCUGUCAGAAGUUGCAGAGACUAGUCAGGAACGUGCCGUGCAGCCUGUGCAAGUCAGGAACACACUGUGCAGAUAGUGCUGUUUCUGUCCAAAGGCAGUUUGCUUCAGCUGUGGGAUGAAUGGCAUGUUCUGGAUCAGAUGGACAGGAUCAGCUAGGGAGAGUGCAAAAAGGUCCUAAGUUAACAAUACUGGGUUCAUAGAUAAAUGGUCAAAUGUGACAUAUAGCAUUUUCAUAUGUUCUUUCCUGGGAAACAUAUGCUCAUGGGCUCAUCUUAUUGAUGAAAUGUUUAAACACCUAGAGGAUUGGAACUUAUAUGAUUGCUGCAUCAUGAGAAAAAUAUUUCUGUAGCCCUGCUGUAGUUGCUUAAUACUAGAUUAUCCCUUUAGAUCAUUGGUAAUCUAAUUACAACAUACCUGAACAAAAGGUGAAAGUAUUGUGGACCUUUUUUUGGUGUAGUAGUUUAUCUUGCUUUGUCAUAACCAAAAAGUUUCAGCAUGUGGCAGCGCCUGCUUGACCUUUGCUGAUCUUGAAAUACAGACUUAGUUAAUAUUUGGAUGGACCACCACCAGAAAAUCCCAUGGCUAAAUUGGGAAGUUGAAGAAACAUCUCAAAAGAAGGCAACAGCAAAGCACUUGCCAAAAAUGCUACAUGGAUGUUAUCAGAAGCUAGGUUUGACUUAAGGUGUUCUUUAUUGGGCAAAAUGGCGGAUAAUCUCUAGAAACAUCUUGGCCUUUUCUCUUUUGUGCUGCACAAGGAAAGAUGGCAUAGAAUUGCUUUUUUAUUAUUAAAUAAAAACUAAUAAAUAGCAGUAACUAAUAGAGUA
rnacentral:lncRNA from 1 species